rnacentral:rRNA from 1 species
GACGAACGCUGGCGGCGUGCUUAACACAUGCAAGUCGAACGGAAAGGCCCUGCUCUUGCGGGGCGCUCGAGUGGCGAACGGGUGAGUAACACGCGAGUAACCUGCCCUUGACUUUGGGAUAACUUCAGGAAACUGGGGCUAAUACCGCAUAGGAGCUCCUGCUGCAUGGUGGGGGUUGGAAAGUUUCGGCGGUUGGGGAUGGACUCGCGGCUUAUCAGCUUGUUGGUGGAGUAGUGGCUUACCAAGGCUUUGACGGGUAGCCGGCCUGAGAGGGUGACCGGCCACAUUGGGACUGAGAGACGGCCCAGACUGCUACGGGAGGCAGCAGUGGGGAAUAUUGCACAAUGGGCGGAAGCGUGAUGCAGCGACGCCGCGUGCGGGAUGACGUCCUUCGGGUUGUAAACCGCUUUCGCCUGUGACGAAGCGUGAGUGACGGUAAUGGGUAAGGAAGCACCGGCUAACUACGUG